CAGUAGCCGCGGUAAUACGUAGGGUGCAAGCGUUAAUCGGAAUUACUGGGCGUAAAGCGUGCGCAGGCGGUUAUAUAAGACCGAUGUGAAAUCCCCGGGCUCAACCUGGGAACUGCAUUUGUGACUGUAUAGCUAGAGUACGGCAGAGGGGGAUGGAAUUCCGCGUGUAGCAGUGAAAUGCGUAGAUAUGCGGAGGAACACCGAUGGCGAAGGCAAUCCCCUGGGCCUGUACUGACGCUCAUGCACGAAAGCGUGGGGAGCAAACAGGAUUAGAUACCCCUGUAGUCCCUGUCUCUUAUAA
rnacentral:rRNA from 1 species